GAUGAACGCUAGCGGCAGGCCUAACACGUGCAAGUCGAGGGGUAGCUAGAGUGAUAGCAAUAUUACUUUGGCUAGACCGGCGCACGGGUGCGUAACACGUAUGCAACCUACCUUAUACUGGGGAAUAACUUCGAGAAAUCGGCGCUAAUACCCCAUAACACUGCGGAGAGGCAUCUCUUUGCAGUUAAAGCUCCGGCGGUAUAAGAUGGGCAUGCGUCCAAUUAGCUAGUUGGUGAGGUAACGGCUCACCAAGGCUACGAUUGGUAGGGGUUCUGAGAGGCUGAUCCCCAACACUGGUACUGAGAAACGGACCAGACUCCUGCGGGAGGCAGCAGUGAGGAAUAUUGCGCAAUGGACGAAAGUCUGACGCAGCCAUGCCGCGUGCAGGAUGACGGCCCUAUGGGUUGUAAACUGCUUUUGUACGGGAAUAAACCCUUCUACGUGUAGGAGGCUGAAGGUACCGUAAGAAUAAGCACCGGCUAACUCCGUGCCAGCCGCCGCAGUAA
rnacentral:rRNA from 1 species